AGAAAGAAGAACAAAAAGGCUGUAGUUAGUUUACAAUACAGAUUUGUCUUCUCACAGCACAUCAAAAGCACAAAAGCCAACCACAAAACAAAACUGCAUGACCCAUUUUUUUUUUAAACAGGAACAGAACAUGCUAUUAAAAUUCCCCAACUAUACGCAGUCAAUUAAUUCCAUUAGGUUUUACUCGAUGUUUUAGUGCUGUCACUGCCUGUCAACCAAGGAGACCAUAUUUGGGAGAAAUCCAAAUCAACUUUCUUUAUUUGUCAACAAUUUAAAACUUACAAAAGUUUUCCACUAGUUGAAUAUAUACUGGAAUCAACUACAAUAAUUUUGCAGGAGCACUUUUUUUUUUUUUUGAAAGAACAUCAAAAUGUAGGACUAACAUACACACACCAAUUGUCACUUAGAGCAAUGACCAGAUGAUGACAAGACGCUCAGAGAUAUUUAAGAUGAAACUACCUUGUAUUACGUCUUUGAAUACUCAACUGGUAAUCACCGUACAAUAGCCUAAACUCUCAGACUCCUGAUGUAUCUGUCUCCAUACAUCAGGUGCAAGACCUUUGCAUACAUCUAGUAUGUGUUUCUAUUGUAUCACUUCUAUGAUAAAAAACAGAUUACAGCUGUAUUUCAAAAUUAUCACUUCCUGGGUUCUUUUAAUUCUAACACAUAAACCACACUCCCCCCAAAAAAAGGAAAAGGAAAGAAAAAAUUCCUUGGCACUAUUUUCUAUUUAAAAAGUAGCAGCAGUGAGUGCCUAUCAGGAGUUAACAAUUAUCCUCAACACCAUAAAGGCAUACAGAGUUUGAAAAAAUAAAAACCUCAAGGUUACUGACUUUCCUUGGCUGUAUCACCACCUUCAAAAUAUCAGCCUCCAAGGAGCAAAAAAAUUCUGAGUGAAACAAUUUCAAGAGGAACCUCAAACAAAGACUUCAAAGAAAAAAGUCUAAGCAGUGUUCUUAAAGCUGAAAUUGACUAGCAAAAAAAACUCUCAAAAAUACAUGAAAAACAUUAUUUUGUCAAUUACUCCAGUAGUGGGAACUUUCCUCCCAGGUCACCCAGACCUGAAGCACACCGCGCAAGGCUCUGCAAAGCAGACUUCAAAGAGUCAGCUGGCAGUCAGGAUACAGACUGAGGCAGCAUCCUCAGCAAGUUAUUACUUGUUUCGUAAACAGGAAGGAGAAAAAUCCAUCUUAUUUGCACAAACUGUUGACACAGUAAGCGCUUUCUGAUGCGAAGUCACUAUUAAAACAUCACAACCGAUGAUACAAAUGUAAAAGGUUACAGAUGUCACACUGUUGAUGUGUACUAACUGGGGUUGGUACAUUAAUUCACAGACAUUUUAGUCAUCCUGGCAUUUAACAUGCAGUUGGAGAAAAAGCCAUUUUUCCUCCAGUGAGGAGCAUUCUCACUAAGUUUUGGACUGAAAAGCUGUUCAUGAAAAUAAAAGGAAGUUAAAUGGCAAAAAGAGCAAGUCAGGCCAAAUGUUACAAGUUUUCAGGCAUCAGAAAUGGAUGCGUUUGGCUUUUACAAUCAUCCUUAUCCUAAGGAUUGUCAAAACCUAGAGUAAGUGGUCCCCCAAUUUCAGUUACCCGCAGUAGCCAAGCAACAGCACCCCAUUUUUUCCAGCCUAAACUUCACAACAGCGCUGCAGGCACAAGACUUCAAUGACUAAGGAUUUUAUGAUCUCGUCUCCAGACAUGCCAGUUGUGGGACAUCUUGUCAACACGAGUUAGCAGCAGGCAGGUCUUGCUCCUUAUGUUUAUCGAAAGCUAACAGUCAUUGAGAUCUGUGGAUACAGUUUGCUUAAGAGUGAGCUUCACACUCGGCUUUGUUAACAGAUCACUGUGCUAGUCAGCGUGGUAUGGAUGACUACACGAAACCAUCACCUUAAUCUGUUUAAAGGCUUCCCAAUUCUUUCCUUCCUCUCCCCAGAAGAAAAAGCAGAGUGCUCAUCCAUAUGCAUCUAAUCAGACUUUUCAAGUCAAGCUACCUCCAGAAAUACACUGGGUUAGAUUUGCUCUGUAUAGAAAAAUAGAACAGGGAGAACAUAAGAACAAGGGAUGCAAGGAGAAAGGUAAGACUGCCCAACUAAAUGAGUUUGUGAGCAUAAAAAAUAGGUUCUGUUCAUUGAAGUGAAAUUAAAAUCCACAGGAAAAUUCAAGAGAUUCUCAAACGUAAAUCUGCUUCAGUUCUGAAGCCAGUUUUCCUCGCUUUUCCAGCUCACCAUUUCAAAAUAGUUUUAGGCUUAUCCUUACAAUCAGAACUGUUGGAAUAUUCAACAUGUAAUUUGUCAGCACAGGGAAAAAGUACACUUGCCUAGAGAGAGUAUGUCCAAAUCACCAUAACCUCAAACGGAGCGAGAGAGGGUCCUUAGUACUGUAGCCCUCCACAGGCCACCCCCUUUGCCAGGAAAUUCUGUGUCUGACCCCUGGCCUCCCAGUGACGCCUGCACCACACGCACACCAGACCCGUUACUGACACGCAAGGCUACCGCAGCUCUCUGACAGUGGAACACAAGCGACACGAGACAUCCCAUAAGCGCUCCAGUAAUAACACUCGUUUGCUACCAGGCAGGAAAAAACAAUUAUUCACUCCCCUCCCCUCUUACAGCCCUGUGAAAUCCAACACAGGACAGGCAGACAACAGGAAAGCGGCUCACCAAGCUGCCUCAGGGAUCCCUACAGAGGCAGAGGGGAUGGGAAGCUGCCGCAGCGAGGCGUGCAGCAAGUUCAGCGCCAUCCCAGCAAGCAGCCCUUAUCAGUGGCAGCACUUCAGUACGCGGGACUCACUAGACUCCAAAAAACUGAGCAGUGGUAGCAUAUUUAACAAGUGUUAGCAGCUUGAAAGAAGUGCCUACAGCACUUCACUUAACACUUCCAGCAAGAACCGAGUAGGUUAACUGAAGAAUUUCAAUAAGGCAGAAUUACUUUCCCCUAGGAACAGUAAUUAGAUCUAAUUAUUACUUAAUCUGGAUCAGUUAUUGGAAGGUGGGUCACAUCCUCUCACUGAGCAAAAUGCCUUAUCUCACUAAAGAAAGGAACACGGGAAAAAUGCAGCUUCCGGUAUGCUGAAUUUGGCUGCAGCUGGCAAGAUAACAUACAACUUACAAAAUAAAGAUUGCCCAUAAAUGACAUAUAUACAGCUCGCUGGUUCAGUAAUAUGACAAACUCUGGAAUCCCGAACUGAUCCCAAGGCUACAUCCUUGCUUUCAUUACACAAAACAGAUUCCCUUCAUCUAGUUUUGAUCUGAAUUUUACCACAGUAGAACAUGUAAGAGCACAGUCCCACAUCCUCAGUAUUUUGCAGUCAGUCAGUCCUGUGAAACAGGGAUUCAUGUUUAAUACUUUUGUUGAUACAUACAUUAGAGAACUAUUUUUCUGUGCGCGCAAUAAAGCCGUUAAAAAAAGUCACUGAAAUGAAAAACACAUUAAUCCCAGUGCUUCAAAAGUAUCUUUGUUACACUCUUCAGAGCUUUCAUUUAUGUUAAUACUUUAGAUUGUUAUAGCUUUACAAGUGAAAAAGAGGAUGCUACUUUGGGCACAAAAAUGCUAGAAUCCUAAAAAAAAAAAAAAAGAAAAACGCAGUUUUACUAUAUUAAAUACUCCAGUUCUCAAAACAUAGUAGCUGUUUUCUUAUGACCCUUUUUAUGAUAAAAAGUUUUCAAAGGCAUGAACAGAAGCACAUAAACAUGCCCUUAAGUUUCUUUCCCUCCAGGAAGUUACCACUACAAGAAAGUAAGCUCUCAAGCACAACACACACACCGCUCCUCAGCCUCUGGUUUUAUCCCAGGUUUUCUCCUUCUCAAAUGCUAAGGGAAGCAGAGGGUACAUGCUCUGAAGUGAACCAACUCAGUCCUGUACGGAUCUCCAGCAGCCGUGAGGUCACCCAUUAGUCUCCUGCACAUGUAAGUGGCUGUUUCAGGAACUGAGCUACAGCUAGCACCCAGGUUAACACGAAGCUGUUCCUACAACUGCUGAAGCUGCAGCAGUGUUGAUUCUGUCAACACGUGACUAAUAUUGUUCUCUCGCUCCAAAAAAACAAAACAAAACAAAAAAAACAACAACCCCACACUCACCAAAGCCCAACCUCCCCCAAAACACACCUCCAAGUGAUGUGAAACGCCAGAAAUGAGAGCAGCAAACCUGUGAGUGCCUCAACACACAAUUGGUAGCCUUUGAUGAACAAACAGAACUUCAGAACAGCUGUAAUAAAAGAUUUGUCCCUUCUCCCCCUCACACUUAGCGCUCCAAACGAUGCAUUACCAUUGAUUUCAGUAGGCUUUCUUCAUGCGGUAACAAACGCUAUGCAACAUGAAAGUCAGGCUUUAGUUUAAGCUCCUGCUUCAAACCAGUUUAAACGGACUGAGACAUAGUUUGUGAAAGAGUUCGAGGCUGUGCACAGUGGCUUUCAGACACAGUCAGAAAUUCAGUUUUUCUUUCCAGUCAGAAGGAAAUCUGUUUCUCUAGCUGUCAAAUAACAUAGAUGUCUUUAUAAAACAACAAGCAUAGCUGAAGUAGGAUAAAGAAAUAUUUUGCUCAGGCGUCUCAGCUUGCACUAUGUAUAAUUUGUGGUGAUGUACAGCUUCGACAAGUACCACAGCUGCAGACCAGCGCACAAAAACCCACCCCUGUGUGACCAAACAUCCACUAGUAAGCCCGCUUGUUGCUUGCUUCUUUUGGACAGUGAGCGCUGACCAGAGGUGCUGGCUUUGCAGACUCCUCUACUUCUUGCUGCUGGCAGAGCCCUCCCAGUCACAACAGGACAGCUGUCAGAGCCCUCUGCAUGAACUGAGGCUAGUUUUUAUGAGCAUGACCUUCCGGCUGCUCCCCCUGCUCCUAUCAGACUUGCUAGGGAAACUGAAUAAAACCCACCACCAGACUCAACCCUAGAAGAUGCAGCUUCCUGCAAAGAUGUCCCAAAAAUAAGUGACAAAGCAUUGAAGCAGCACUGAAGCCACCCCCCCACCCCCACCCAAAUGCUCUCACAGCGAGAACGGAUUUUCUCAAACACCAUCACAUCACCUUCUAGGCAGGUGUUUACACGUGAGGCCAUCUCUUCUGUUAGUUUUCAUGGCUGCCUGUAAGCAGGGCCCAAGCAACCCCUGGCACAACCACGCACGCCUCUGCAAGGACACUGGAUCUUCCCCGUUCACAAGUCAGACGUGUGUCAAGCCUCUGACUUUGAAGAUAACAUCUCGUGUAUGAGUCUUGUACAGAGGAAGAAGCAGGGCUUUACUUUCAAGUAUUCAUAGUUAAUAUACAUAAAAACAGCUCUUUUAACACUAGAAGAGCUCCUCCUGUGCACGUUUGUAAAUUGUAGCCCAAAGAAGUCAUGCAUAUCCAUGUCACAAAGCACCCAUUCUCCUUAAGUCUCCCAUAAAUAAAGCACGCUGACUUUGUCAUAAGGCAUCACAUAUGUGCACAACCAGGUGAGCAAAACCCCACUUUUUGUCUCUCUGAGGAGUCACAGUGACUGGACUGCUCCUGUCUCCAGUCUUCCCCCCCAUUCUCGGAGAGGAAGAAAAACCAAAGCAGGACUAACAGGUUAUGCGUGCUGGGGACAGAAGUCAGGCACGGGAGGUGAAACAGGGAUUCCUUUGGCAGGGACGUUAUUUUCUUCCGCUCCAAUACUUACCAUAGAAACCAAUGACGGGAAUCAGACUAGCUGAUAUCAUCUAGCAUAUAAUUUUAGUUUCAAGUGAGACAGCUCCCUGUUAACUGCUAGUAAACACUCAAGCACCUGAGCCUGAGUAUUCCCAAGCACAAAGAUGCAUUUUCUCUCUGCCAGCAAUCAGACUCUACGCUACACACCUUUGCCCUUUCAAAACACCAAAAGUUUACUUUAUAAUGGUGGCAGUAGCAGAAGGAAAGCCUAUCCAAAAUAAACUAAGUAACACAAACAAUGUUGUUACUUGAAGCUAGUUGUUAAAUUUUACUGUCCCUGUACCAGUUGACUCAAAACAUGGGCAGACAAGAACUCGUGGUACUUGUUCCACUUCCCAGCGAUUGAAAGGCAUUAGCGGAUAAUAUUUUCCUAAUAUUACUUAUCCGCGUGGCCUGUGCUGUGCAGGUACUUACACCUCAUUUGUUACCAUGGCGUUUGAGCAGCUUCCAGCCGAACCCACGACAACACAACAGUUGCCGUCGGUGUCACAGAAAGAUUACAGACAAGGAGAGUUGGAAGAUACAGAAACAGUAGAGGAACACCAGUUUUCAGCCGUAAUGGAGAACUGAGAGAACACCAAGGCAGCUUAGAUUCACAGAGGAAUGCAGAGUGCCCCACACAGGUGUUGCUACAAACCUCCUGUGCGUCUCACACGUUGGACAUUCUCACAGGGGACCAACCUGUUUUAAGGGAAGACUGACUUCAGUAGGAACAGAUUUUCACUGCAGGUGAGAUUUCUAAGUUGAUUACUGUUUUUUUUUCUGAUUUCAGUCUUGGUACAAACUGUACAGAAAUAGAUGGGAUAUGAGUCAUGCAAAAUGAAUCAGUAACAAUGUUUAAAAAUGUGCAUGUAUUCAAGCCAGAUUUCUACAGCUUUUAUAAUCUUUAUGAAAAAUUUCGUAAACUGUGAACAUCAAAUGUGAUUGUAAGAAUUUCACCAUUUAUUUACUAUGGAGUUUAAUUAAACUUAUUUUAGGAAAAACAGAAAAAUUGCCAUUAACAGCAUAAGCUUUGCAAGGUAUCUUAACUUGAUGAUAAGAAAAUUCUGGCUAGAAGUGCAAAAACGUCUUCAGCUGGAAUUAAAAAAUAGAUGCAAGUAAGACUUAACUGUUAUAACAAAUAUUAUAACCCUUACAUUUAUAUACUGAAGGAGUGAAUAAGCUUGAGAGGAUUUAUAAUCAAAAUACAUGCUAUUAAGAUAGAGUUAACAUUUGUUAAAUAUCAGUAAAACAUGCAGUAUCAAAAAAAAUGCCUUCAAGGACAUAUAAUAUUCCCUCUGUGGACUGUGCUACUCAUUUCUGGAACUGAAUUGGUUGCAAACCUUCUACAGAGUGGAAAUUUUGCACAAGUAUUUCUAUCAGACUUUACAUUGAAAAAUAAAGCUAAUAUUUCAGGUAAGCUAGUGAAAGCCAUAAAGAGGUGAAGCUAACUCAAGCAUGAGGCUCACACCUGUAGCUUAACUUAGCUCAACUUGGAAGAUGUCUGUUGAAAAACUACUAGCUACCACUGACCUUUAACAUACAAGUUAAAGUUACAUUGACUAGCAUGCCCUUUAUAUAUGAAACUAAAUACAUGAAAUAAUACUAUAGAGAUAUAAAAAGUGCUUACAAAACCAUCCUUUAAUAAACAAGAUUCAUUUGAUUAAGGCUCGAGAAUAAAGCCCGUUUUAAAUAAAAAGCACUGGGGUAUUUAGAAGUUCAUUUUGUUUAAAAACCUUACCAAUACCAGGUAUCUUUUGUACAGAACACAGAA